ACUCCUACGGGAGGCAGCAGUGAGGAAUAUUGGACAAUGACGCAAGUCUGAUCCAGCCAUGCCGCGUGCAGGAAGAAUGCCCUAUGGGUUGUAAACUGCUUUUAUUUGGGAAUAAACCCCUUCUCGUGAGGAGGGCUGAAGGUACCAAACGAAUAAGCACCGGCUAACUCCGUGCCAGCAGCCGCGGUAAUACGGAGGGGUGCAAGCGUUAUCCGGAAUCAUUGGGUUUAAAGGGUCCGCAGGCGGACGUAUAAGUCAGUGGUGAAAGCCUACAGCUUAACUGUAGAACUGCCAUUGAUACUGUAUGUCUUGAAUUCGGUCGGAGUGGGCGGAAUGUGUCAUGUAGCGGUGAAAUGCAUAGAUAUGACACAGAACACCGAUAGCGAAGGCAGCUCACUAGGCCUGAAUUGACGCUCAGGGACGAAAGCGUGGGGAGCGAACAGGAUUAGAUACCCUGGUAGACUGUCA
rnacentral:rRNA from 1 species